rnacentral:misc_RNA from 1 species
CCGGCAAAUACCAUUUCACAAGCAACUAUUAUACACAUUUACAAAAUAAAUACAACUUUCCAUAUCUGUACCGAGUUGAAAUCAUCAUCUGGACAACAUUAUUUUUCUACAGUCCUAUCAUAUACAUACUACAGUUGCUAGAAAAUCCCAAUGCCCAAUCUGACCUAUGAAAACAAUUUAGAUAAAUCAGAACCCUUAGCUUGCAACACCAAUUUCACUUCAGAACUUGUUGUCGCCUUUCACACCAUUGCACUACUUCAUUCAUUACUUAAUAAGAACAUGCCGUUUAAAUGAAGAAACCACAUCUACUAUUUUGCUUCUCAGAUAUGAUGCUGGAUUGCAGGGGUUAACACCAAAUGUCAGCCAGCUGUGAUUAGCCACUAUCAUGUUCUAAAUAUAUGAUGACGUGCCAAAACUUCUGGUAUUCUCGAGGCAGGAAGGCUUUGGCAACCAAAGAGUUCUUGAAGUUUUGCAUCACAUAGUAUCACCAUUGGAUUACGGGGAUCCUCCAAAUUGUUGACAUUUAUGUAUUCCCACAAUCGUGUGAAGACCUCUGAUUGGAGCAUUUCUUUCACGCCAACACCAAAAAAAUUUGCAAGUCCUUCAGAAAUUGCUACAGAAGGAGCAGAUAUAGUUUGUUUCUCUGCAGUCUCCUCAUCCAUCUUUUGCUUCUUAGAACCCAGCUGUUUGGUGGGUUCGAGAGGAAUGAUAUGUUUAGCCAGCAGCUU